ACGCUGGCGGCGUGCCUAACACAUGCAAGUCGAGCGGCAGCGCGGGGCAACCUGGCGGCGAGCGGCGGACGGGUGAGCAAUAUUUGGGAAUCUGCCUAUUAGUGGGGGAUAACCCGGGGAAACUCGGGCUAAUACCGCAUACGCACUACGGUGGAAAGCCGGGGACCGCAAGGCCUGGCGCUAAUAGAUGAGCCCAAAUCGGAUUAGCUAGUUGGUGAGGUAAUGGCUCACCAAGGCGACGAUCCGUAGCUGGUUUGAGAGAACGACCAGCCACACCGGAACUGAGACACGGUCCGGACUCCUACGGGAGGCAGCAGUGGGAAAUAUUGGACAAUGGGCGAAAGCCUGAUCCAGCGACGCCGCGUGGGUGAAGAAGGCCUGCGGGUUGUAAAGCCCUUUCGGUUGGGAAGAAAUGUAUUGACCUAACACGUCAGUACCUUGACGUAACCAACAAAAGAAGCACCGGCUAACUCUGUGCCAGCAGCCGCGGUAAUACAGAGGGUGCAAGCGUUAAUCGGAAUUACUGGGCGUAAAGCGCGCGUAGGCGGCUUGACAAGUCGAGUGUGAAAUCCCCGGGCUUAACCUGGGACCUGCAUUCGAAACUGUCUUGCUAGAGUAUGGGAGAGGGAAGUGGAAUUUCAGGUGUAGCGGUGAAAUGCGUAGAUAUCUGAAGGAACAUCAGUGGCGAAAGCGACUUCCUGGACCAAUACUGACGCUCAGGUGCGAAAGCGUGGGGAGCAAACAGGAUUAGAUACCCUGGUAGUCCACGCCAUAAACGAUGACAACUAGAUGUUGGGAGGGUUAGCCUCUCGGUGUCGUAGCUAACGCGUUAAGUUGUCCGCCUGGG
rnacentral:rRNA from 1 species